CAUCCCAAAAUUUAUUUUGUGGAUCGUCUCGCAAUAUUUGGCUUAAAUCCUGCCUAAAUCCCUCAGGGAAGUCCCACCGGCGGGGAGAUGGUUGCUCCGCCGGAGCAUCCCCAACAGCCUUCUGCCGCCAGAACCAUAGGCUUCUUCACAACUCUCGGCCUUUUCCAGAACAUCCCAGAAGCUUCAGAACGCAAAGAUUUCUACUCUGAUCUGAUACGCAGCCUCCUUAAAGUUGACCACAUCGACCGCGGUCAAAUCGCAUGCACGCUCAAGGUCAACGCCUCUGUCGUCAAUCCGUACAACACCCUGCACGGGGGAGUUGUGUCCUCUGUGGCGGAUUUGGUGGGACUAGCUUGCGUGAAGACGGUGUAUGGGGAUAAGGAGUUCUUCCUUGGGGAGUUCAGCACUUCUUAUCUUGCCGCCGCCAGGCUUGAUGCUAGGUUCCACAUGGACGGGCCAGGUUUGGCUACUUUGGGCUUUGUCUAAGUCAAUGCGGGCUCGCAACGGGCUGGGCCGACCAAAUUUCUAUUUUUUAUAGCCAACCCACCCACGUCCCGCGGGUUUUUGGCGAGCCCGUUGGCCUACCCGCCCAAUGCCCAGAUCUAAUUUAUAGACUGAGGUUGAAGUUAAGGGAAGCAUCAUAAGGCAGGGGAGAAGUGUUGUGGUUGUUAACAUUGAGUUCAGGAU